AGUGCAACUGCUGAGUCAUAUGGUUAGCACAUGUCUAAUUUUAUAAGAAACUGCUAACUCUUUUCCAGAAUGGCUACACCAUUUUGCAUUCCCACCGGCAGU
rnacentral:pre_miRNA from 1 species